rnacentral:rRNA from 1 species
AGUGAACGCUGGCGGUAGGCCUAACACAUGCAAGUCGAACGGCAGCACAGUAAGAGCUUGCUCUUACGGGUGGCGAGUGGCGGACGGGUGAGGAAUACACCGGAAUCUACUUUUUCGUGGGGGAUAACGUAGGGAAACUUACGCUAAUACCGCAUACGACCUACGGGUGAAAGCAGGGGAACUUCGGACCUUGCGCGAUUGAAGGAGCCGAUGUCGGAUUAGCUAGUUGGCGGGGUAAAGGCCCACCAAGGCGACGAUCCGUAGCUGGCCUGAGAGGAUGAUCAGCCACACUGGAACUGAGACACGGUCCAGACUCCUACGGGAGGCAGCAGUGGGGAAUAUUGGACAAUGGGCGCAAACCUGAUCCAGCCAUACCGCGUGGGUGAAGAAGGCCUUCGGGUUGGAAAGCCCUUGUGUUGGGAAAGAAAAGCAGCAGGUUAAUACCCCGCUGUUCUGACAGUACCCAAAGAAUAAGCACCGGCUAACUUCGUG